rnacentral:lncRNA from 12 species
GGGGGGGGGGGGGGGGGGGGGGGGGGGGGGGGGUUUUUUUUUUUUUUUUUUUUUUUUUUUUUUUUAUUUCUUUCCCCUCCCUCCGUGCUGUUCUGCGUAAGCCACAGCAGCAGCUCGGUGUCUGCCCAGGGCAGUGUUAUGGGCUCGGCUCUUAUGUAGGUGAAGCUGGGAACGCUGUGAGGAUCAUGUGGAGCUCUCAGUCUCCUGAGCCUGGAGCUUUGAGCCUAUUUAUAGGUUUUCUGUGA